UACAGGGGGUGCAAACGUUACUCGGAAUCAUUGGGCGUAAAGAGCGCGUAGGCGGUUUGAUAAGUCAAGUGUGAAAUCCCCAGGCUCAAUCUGGGAAGUGCAUUUGAUACUGUCAGGCUAGAGUAUAGGAGGGGAGAACGGAAUUCCUGGUGUAGAGGUGAAAUUCAUAGAUAUCAGGAGGAACAACAGUGGCGAAGGCGGUUCUCUGGACUAUUACUGACGCUGAGGCGCGAAAGCGUGGGGAGCAAAC
rnacentral:rRNA from 1 species